CAGAGAGAGAGGGGUGAGAGGAGGGACAGAGAGAGAGGGGAGAGAUGAGAGGAGGGACAGAGAGAGAGGCCUGAGAGAGACAGCUGAGAUCAAAAGGAUGAGAUGGAGAGAAAGGGCUGUAAAAGAGCCAGAUUGACACGAGUCGAUAAGUGAAAACUACAUCCCCCACACUCACCUGAAGUCAUUCUGGCCUUCUCUGAGCUCUUUUCUCCUUCCUCCUCUCUCUUCUGUAGGCUGUGUGUGUGUUUCCUAAUGGGUACCAUGCCCUGCCCACCCUUCUCCUGGGGGUGCCGGUCUGCCAGUGCCAGGACUGGGGGUGAACAUCGCCAACCCUCACCCUCUCUGGCACCAUCUCUAGCCCCCUCCCAGGUCUCCUGCCCUGGAUACAGGCUCUCUCUCUGGCCCCCACACCUCUGGAGGACUGGGACUCUGUUGUUCCCAUAGUCCUGCCUUCCACCUAGACCAGGGAGGAAGAUAAAGAGAGGAGAGAAGGGAAGCGGAGGAGAGAGAAGCCAUGGAGAGAGGUGAGAGAUGGUGUGUGAUGAGAGAGUGAGGGAAAGAGAGGUGAGAGAUGGUGGGUGAUGAGAGAGUGAGGGAAAGAGAGGUGAGAGAUGGUGGGUGAUGAGAGAGUGAGGGAAAGAGAGGUGAGAGAUGGUGGGUGAUGAGAGAGUGGGGGAAAGAGAGGUGAGAGAUGG
ensembl:lncRNA